ensembl:lncRNA
UUUCUGAAGAUCAUGUGACACUGAAGACUGGAGUAAUGAUGCUGAAAAUACAGCUGCACAUCACAGAAAUAAAUUACAGUUUAACAGAGAUUCACAGAGAAAACAGCUGUUUUAAAUUAUAAUAAUAUUUCACAUUUUUACUGUAUUUUUUAUCAAAUAAAUGCAGCCUCGAGAAUGGCAUGACACACAGAUUCACGUCAUACUCUCAGAUUCAGAAGGUUUGAUGAGGAUCGUGCCGUCACGAUGAAGACAUCUAUCACGCAGUACACACUAAUACAGAUCUGGACACGUGAUGCACACUACAGUACAACAGUUGCAUUAAAAAAGUAAUGAAUCUGUG